rnacentral:rRNA from 1 species
GACGAACGCUGGCGGCGUGCUUAACACAUGCAAGUCGAACGGAAAGGCCUGCUUUCCCUUGUGGAUUGCGGGUACUCGAGUGGCGAACGGGUGAGUAACACGUGAGUGAUCUGCCCCCAACUUGGGUAUAAGCCUGGGAAACUGGGUCUAAUUCCCGAUAGGACUGCAGGGUGGUGCCUGUGGUGGAAAACGAUUUUCUAGUGGUUGGGGAUGAGCUCGCGGCCUAUCAGCUUGUUGGUGGGGUAAUGGCCUACGAAGGCGGCGACGGGUAGCCGGCCUGAGAGGGGGGACGGUGACAUUGGGACUGGGACACGGCCCCGACGCCUACGGGAGGCAGCAGUGGGGAAUAUUGCAGAAUGGGCGGAAGCCUGAUGCAGCGACGCUGCGUGGAGGAUGACGGCCUUCGGGUUGUAAACUCCUUGCGAACGAGAGGAAGCCACCUGGUUGGAAGGGUGGUGACGGUAGUGGUAGAAGAAGCACCGGCUAACUACGUG